GUGAUAGUAGAAAGACAGUUCAUGGAACUCUGUAUGCCCCUAAUUCGAAAUGAUAUAAACUUGUACAUUUGAUUAAAUUUGUUGCGUUUAAUGCUUAACGAAAGUUGCGUGACUGUCGUUCUAACACAUUAUACUAUGAUGACAGGAAUCAAGGUAUUGAUUUCCUUUAUAUUCCGGUGCUAUUGUUCUGAAGGCAGCCUCCGAAUACGAUAGGUUAUUAAUAUCUGUAUCUGUAUCUGUAUUUUUCUGUAAAUAAAGAAAAAGAAAAAACGACCUGGGAAGUCCCAGUAGUCCUAAAAUACUCCAGAGAGAUCUAAGUGGAGAUCCCAGCGGAGUUAAAUAUAAUACAUUAAUACGUAAUUAUUAAGAUAAUAAACAAGCUGUGGCGAUCCAGCAGGUGUAUUGCCAUAUAUACAAAGAGAAUGAACGACCUGGGGCGAUCCCGCAGGUGUAUUACAAUAUAUAUAAAGUGAAUGAAUGACCUGUGGCGAUCCAGCAGGUAUAGUACAAUAUAUAUAAAGAGAAUGAAUGACCUGUGGCGAUCCAGCAGGUGUAGUACAAUAUAUAUAAAGAGAAUGAAUAACCUGUGGCGAUCCAGCAGGUGUAGUACAAUAUAUAUAAAGUGAAUGAAUGACCUGUGGCGAUCCAGCAGGUGUGCAAUAUAUAUAAAGAGAAUGAAUGACCUGUGGCGAUCCAGCAGGUGUACAAUAUAUAUAAAGAAAAUGAAUGACCUGUGGCGAUCCAGCAGGUGUGCAACAUAUAUAAAGAGAAUGAAUAACCUGUGGCGAUCCAGCAGGUGUAGUACAAUAUAUAUAAAGUGAAUGAAUGACCUGUGGCGAUCCAGCAGGUGUGCAAUAUAUAUAAAGAGAAUGAAUGACCUGUGGCGAUCCAGCAGGUGUACAAUAUAUAUAAAGAGAAUGAAUGACCUGUGGCGAUCCAGCAGGUAUAGUACAAUAUAUAUAAAGAGAAUGAAUGACCUGUGGCGAUCCAGCAGGUGUGCAAUAUAUAUAAAGAGAAUGAAUAACCUGUGGCGAUCCAGCAGGUGUAGUACAAUAUAUAUAAAGUGAAUGAAUGACCUGUGGCGAUCCAGCAGGUGUGCAAUAUAUAUAAAGAGAAUGAAUGACCUGUGGCGAUCCAGCAGGUGUAGUGCAAUAUAUAUAAAGAGAAUGAAUGAUUGACCUGUGGUGAUCCAGCAGGUGUAGAACGAUAUAUAUAAAGAGAAUGAAUGACUUAGUGCAAUAUAUAUAAAGAGAAUGAACGACCUGAAAUAUAUUACAAUUUAUUACUUUACUGUAUGAAAUGUCCACCUGGGGAGAUGCCAGCAGGUGUGGAGCAAUCUAGAAUAGAGAUAUAAACAUGAUAAAUACUGUGUGCUACAUGUACUAUGUGCUGAAAUAUAUACAUAUAAAUACAUAUUGAUGACUAAUACUGCACGAAAUGUUCACCUGGAGUGAUCCCAGCAGGUGUGGAGCAAUCUAGGAUAGAGAUAUAAAUACUGUGUGCUAGUAUGUGCUGAAAUAUAAUACAUAUAAAUACAUAUUUAUUACUUAUACUGUACAAAAUAUUCACCUAGGGAGAUCCCGGAAGGUGUAGAGUAAUCUAGAAUAGAGAUAUAAAUAAUGUGUGCUACUAUGUGCUGAAAUAUAUUACAUAUAAUAUAUAGUAUUAUUUAUACUAUGUAACUGCUGUUAUCCUGAUAUAAGGAGAUGUAUGUUUUGUUUAUUAAUAAAAUAUAUAAAUAUUACUUAUACUUAACAAAGGCAAAGUUUCCACCAAUACAAUAUAUUCAGUUGCAUAUCCUAAAGAAGUGCAGACAUAUAUAUGCAUAUCCUAUACGUGUCCUCCAAUCUCCAUGCUGUUCUUCACUCCCUGCUGCAGUAGAAUGGUAAACCCCAAUGUGUAGUGUAUGAUCUACGAGUGCCGUAGGUGCUGUUGGACUAGU